GUCACUGUUGGCACAAAUGGUUUGCACUCAGCUACUAACUGAAAGGUUGGUGGUUCGAAUCCACCUCGUGGUG
rnacentral:tRNA from 1 species